CUAUGAGGAUGAUCCUUGUCUUGUCCUGUUUUAUCUUUGCGAGGACCCUGGGCAGCAAUGGCAGCGGAGGGAAGGCAUACAUCAGAGCCCCUGACCACGGGAACAGAAAAGCAUCGGACAGGGCUACUCUCUCCAUGCCCUCCAAUUGAAUAGAAGGCAUUUCCUGUUCUGCCUGGACGCAAACAGGUCCACCUGGGGAGUUCCCUACCUGUGGAAGAUGGAGCUGACCACCUGACUGGACCAACGACCUUGAGUGUUGAGACUGACGAGGAUAGGGACGUGAAGGAAACACCUGCCAACACUGACAUGGGAUCCUGACACCAUACGAGGGACGCCAGGACGCUGUCUGGAAUCCUGACCACUUAGUCCAUGCUGUGCCGGUUGGGUACAUAGACCGAUGCCAGCCAUGCCUGAAGAGGUCUGAGGCAGAGUUGUGCGUGCCGGACAUGUCACGACAGGUGGAACAGACCAGGUCGAGAUGUCUCUGCACCUGACCCGGAGACCGGCCCCUUAUCAACCAGUCAUCGAGGUACGGGUAUAUUUGGACUCCUCGAUAUCUCAGUUUUCUCUCUACAGAUUACCAACAACGUUGACACCUAAUGACACCCCAGUUUGCAUGGCUGCAGCACAGAAGACAAGUCCUUGGCAGGCAUUAUUUCCAGUCUGUAGAAAGGUAAAAGAAUUGGCAACCAACUCAGCUUUGACUGCACCGUGCAUUCCAAAUCUCUAAAACUUCACAGUCAAUUUCUAAGAAAAUAUUGUUUGGUGUUUAGUAAUUUACUAGAAAUUGUUCCGGAAGUCAGGCUGGAAAGAAUGAAAUGAGAAGCCACCCUCAAAACUUUCAUGAACAGAAGAAAAAGUGUUAAUUUCCAUCUUCAACACAGCACCUGACAGCUUGUGGAAAGAGUUGGGGAGGAACAAGAUUGCCUUAGCAUAAAUUAUACAGUCUUGUUUCACUGUUUGCCGCAUUUCAGGACCAUAAAGCUAGUUCUGCAAACCCGAUCCCAAUGGGCCUAAGUGAGGUCAUUGCUUACCUAAGCAUUUCUGACAUGCUACUAAACAACUUGUUGACAUAAUUAUGUCCUCUGCUGGGAGUUAUAUUGAUUAAUGCACCUGACAUUUGUGGAAAAACAUCUAGUGCAUUACCAUUUACAUCAUAGGUAGGCUGUACAUUCUAGCUUUUCUAUUGCACAUAUCCUCUUAAUUGUUGGGUUAGAUGGAACCAAACAAAUUACUUGUUAAGCAGCUAUAAUCUAUUCUCAUUUCAUAGGGGGUAGUGACCCUUCUGCAGUGUAUUUGGAAAUAGAGGAGCAUUAUUACUGAACUAUGUGCAGUGAGAUGUGGGAAGUAUUUGAUGCAGAGAAGCAGUAAGAAACAAUUACCUGUUAUAUUGUACUCCAUUUACGUGUGUUGCAUCAUGUGUAGGCUUUAACAAAUCCUGCUAAUUACCAUGCAUAAUGUGAUUGCUCUGUUCCAUUCACACUGUGAAAAAUAAGCUAGCCACUGUGAUAAUUUAGGUUGAAAGAGGGGAAAGAAGUUUUAACCUAUUAUUUAUCUAAAAUGUCACACACUGCAAAUGAAGCAUUACAAAGAUAAUAUUUCUACAAUAAAGUGAAAAAAGGAGGUUUAUGUAGACACAAGACCAAAUUCGGUGAAGUUAUAACAGGGAUGCAUUUGGGCGAUGCUCUUUAUAGUCCACAAUUUAUAAGAAAACAAGAAAAAAUGUCCUGAUCUUUCAAAAAUCUCAUUCUUUGUUGAGUCAGCCUGUGUGACACUGCUGCCCAUAUUUUUCAUAGUAAUAUUAUGAUAGGAUUGUGUCAUAGUCGUAAUGUAUUUUAUGCAGGAUAGAUCAUGUGAGGUGUCAUUGGAAAGUUAUGAUUUACUGAAUAUGAUUAUUCUAUUUGUAUGCAUGUAUCAUUUUUGUAUCUAAAAUUAGGAAUAUUGAAUACAUCUGUACUACAAAAGUGUUUGCACCUGGGGAACGCGCACCAGACAGAAUGCAAUCAGUCUGGCUGGCUAGCUGGGGACAAGUCAAUGGACCAUUAGAGAGAACAAUAGGUCUUUGAAGAUGCUAAUCUCCCGCCUUCCUGAGCAGCUUUCCUGGGAUGCUAUAAACCGCCUCUGACUCAUGGCUGCUUUGACACUGUAGGGUCAUGUGUUCAAGUCACCUGGUAUUGGACUUCAUAAUAGAACACCAGUAUUUUUCCACAGAGGGGUGGUUGGGAAUCACACUGAAAGACAAAAGAUUCCUGCCAUAUAUAAAGCCUUUUUAAGUCAGGGGAGUGAGUUAAUCAGGGUUUGUUUUUCACUGAAUCCUCGUUCAGGAUGACUGCUGUGAACAUCUAAGGGUUUGUCUACACUGCCAAUUAACGACAAAACUUUUGUUGUUCACAGGUGCUUAAAAAAAGCUCCCUCCCCCCCCCCCCCCCCCCCGAAAGACAAAAGUUUUGCCACAGCAAGUGGCAGUGUAAAUGGCUCAUUGUUGGCAGGAGAGCUCUCCUGUUGACAACGCGAAUCCCCGCUUAUAGGGGGUGGAAGUACUUUGUUGGCAAAAAUGCCAACAAACAGCAUUUACACUGCCCGACUUUUAGCGACACGGCUGUCUCUCUAAAAGCUUUGUAGUAUAGACAAAGCCUAAGAAACAAAGACAAAGUGGGGGAGAAGUAUUGAGCCCAGGGUGGGAAGUUGUCUGGCCUGUGAAAGAACUACCUGGAGUUUUAGGCUGCAAGCCAGGGUGGAUAAAAAUCAAUGAUUUUUAAAAAAAAAUUAAAAAAUCAGAUUUUUUUAAUUUAAAUUGGAUUUUUUUUGAUAAAAUGCUUUUUGAGGGGAA